AUAUUAGUCAAUGCUCGAAAGAGUGAACUAGCUAACUGAAAUCAAUUAUAAACAUUGAUAACAUAAGGGAAAAUAAUGAUAUUAUCUUAUUAUUAGUGUCGUCCAAAUCUGGUGCCAGAAGACUCGGUAAGGCCAGAGACACAAACGUUAAUCGUCUUAAUCAGGCGUAAAGGGUUUGUAGGCGGCUUUAAAUUUACUUUAGAAAAAUUAAUAAAUAAAAUAAGUAAAGAAUAAAAGCUAGAAUCAAAUAGAGGAUAUAUAAAAUAAUGCUUAGAGUAGGUCUGAUAUCCUUAGAUACUAAGUAGAAUAUUAAAGGCGAAAGCUUUUUUCCAUUAAUGAUUGACGCUCAGAAACGAAAGUGAGGAUAGGAAAUAGGAUUAGAUACCCAAAAUACCCCUCUCUGUCAACGAUGAAUGGUAGUUAUUAGUAAUAAAUUUAUUAAUGGCAAUGUUAACACGAUAACCAUUCCGCCUUGUGAGUACAACUGCAAAGUUGAAAACAAAAAAAUUAGUCGGUUUCGGAGCAAACGAAGUGAAGCAUGUUAUUUAA
rnacentral:rRNA from 1 species